CAUCAACCCUAAUUCCCGCCCCCCAUUUCAACGUCUCCUCCAAAUAUAGAUAUAGCCCUCUCUAUCAGACGGCGAAACUCACAAUGAUGGACGCUAUCAUCUGAGCUGACGAUUAAUCUAAUCAGUUCGUAUGUUUUUCGUAGAUUGGUUAUAUUUUCUUCUUAUCAAUUCAACUUUGCCCGCAUGGCAUCCCAACAACAGAGUGGUAAUGACACCGACGGCAGUCCAUUACCAGAGGGUAGCCCGGAUAUGCAUACCUACAGAGGGGUAAUAGCAGAUAGGUCUAGACGUUGCUGGACACAACGCGAGGAGUCGAUCCUUUUGUCAACCAUGAAGGAGUUGGCGGCAACCGGAUGGAGGUCGGAUAAUGGUUUUCGUGCAGGUUAUCUCACCCGUGCACUGGAGGCACUCAAACGUGAAUUUCCAAAAACUGAUAUUUGUGUUCACCCUCACAUCAAGUCGAAGAUCACUGCCUGGAAAAAGAAUUACUACUAUUCGCUGUUGCAAAUACUUGACCGUAGUUAUGUUGGUUUCAAUGCUGAUGGUGAUUACAAGAUAGAUAUCGAUGAUGAACAAUUGGCACAAGUUGUCCGGUAAUAUUGAUCACAAUGGGAAAGUUGAAUUAGGUGUAGGGGCAAUCAUGUUGACAUGUUUUCCCUUGUUUCGGGUGCCAUAACAUUGUUUAUAAGAAAACAUGUUAUUGUUUGCUUAGUCGACUACAAAAAUCUGGAAAUUGUCUUCCACGAUUGCUUUGUUGAUGUUAGAGGGUGUUGUGAUGUUGGCUGAGGAAAAGUGGUGGAGACCGAUGGAAUGAAUUGAGAGAUAACAAUGCCAAAUAUAUGAGGAACAAGUCUUAGCCAAUGUUCGGUGACUGGAAAGAGAUUUUCGGCAAGGACCGUGCGGAAGGGGCUAAGGUUAUGGACACAGGGGAUGCGGUUGGCAAAAUUUAUGGCUCUAACGUUGAUUUGAAUGAAAAUUCUGCAAAGGUCAUCUCCAAUGACUUUAGAGGAACUCUUCACUGACGAAGUUUUUCCUAACGGUGUUCUACCAGAGAUGGUAGAUGAGAGCAAUUCGGCACCUGUGAGAGUUACUCCGAGGGUGCCAAACAAAGUAACGAAGAAGAGGAAGGUUGAGGACAAGAUGGAUAAUGUCCUUACUCUGAUGACUCGCAUCCAUGAAGACACAAAUGAGUGCCUGAAGGACAUUUCUACCCGAAUUGGUUAUGAGUUCGAUCUUAGUACGAAGAGGACUGAGGUCAUCAAUCAACUGAAAGGUAUGCUCGGACUGUCCAUUAAACAACAAUUUUAUGUUGCAAAAAAGUUGGUGAAGGAGCCUGAGCUUAUGGAUCUGUUUAGGGGAUAGGAUGAAUUUGCUCUACCGACAUUUGUUAUCGAUCUUCUGGAGACCGAUGGAAUGAUUUGAUAGUGGUGGAGUCCAUGUCUUUGUGUGUAUUUUGUUAUACAACAUGGUUUAAACAAUGAUCCAAUCCAUGUAUCUAAAUAGUGGCAGUGAACUAUGUAGUAUGCCAACUGGUAUUUUUUUUGCGCAUGCAAUAUGUGAAGCAUGGACAAGUUGUGUAAUUUGGUUAAUUACCAUCACUCUAGAGUUUGUGAUACUACUGCAUAUCAACACCAAUUUAGUUACUA